rnacentral:lncRNA from 1 species
GGGAGAGCUCAAGAAAUCUCUGUAACAUCUUUGGAUGAAACGGAUACUGAAAAAUGUAAAGUGAAAGGAUGAAGCCCAUCAGUCCCCAGACUGGAUUGCCUUCACUUGCCUUGCUGGAGUUUGACUGUUAUCUGACGCAUACCCUAUGCAUGGCUGGGGAACAUGAGAAUGAGCAGCAUAUGACUAGAGGUGCUAUGUAAAUCUACAGUACUUCCUUGCAGCCCAUUACAAUGGAGAAAAUAAAUGAGUGCUGAAGUGAUUGCAGCAGGUUUGGAGAUUCCAUUUUGUAACAGAAUGGCUUCUAUCCAGGGAUGGAUCUCUGCUUUAUUAGAGAGAUGCAUAAAGAUAUUAUUAUCUCUGGGGGAAGAAAGAUAUGUGCACAAAGAGUGUGUUUAUGGGUACUCCUGAACAGGUGGGCUUGCUUGGGUUCUGCAGGAGAGCGAGACCGACAAAGGAAUCUUUUCAACUGGCUAGCUGGAGGUCACACACUAGAAUUUCCAUUAAUGCUACACUCUGUUAACUCUGUAGUUGAAGCCUGGGAAGAAAACUUCAAAUAAAUCCACAAAGGAGUUCAUGAAAGUUGAAAAGCCAGUGAUAGAAAUUUCUCUCCAGGCUGAGAAUUUUGGAUGAUGAAGAGUUUUGGAUGAUGAAGAAUUUUGGCUGAUCCAUUUGGCCAUGUAUGGCUUAUAUCUGCCAAUUAUGGUAUCAGAACAUCUUGAAUUAAAGAAGUCAUUUUAGUAAAGAAGCAGCUGUGAAUGCAGAGGAAGAUGGUCUGAAGGUACUGGUAACAUCAUUUAAAACAUUACCACAAGUAGGCAAUUCCCUUAAGAAAUCUCAGAGGUUGCUGCAGGUCUACUUUUAAAGAGCUGCUCCUUGGCUAAAAUUUGUGCUUUGCUCAGUGAGGAAAAGAAGAGAAAAAAAUGUUGGGUGCAUGGUAUACUGUGAUUUUCUUGGUACACCCAGUAAAAGAAAGCAUAUAUUCAGCAUACAACAUACCUGUGAAGCUAAGAAAUAAAUCUGCUGCUUUGGAAGUGUAAUAAGGAAAAAUGGCUGAAUAAUGAAGAAAAACUACACAGAACUAAAAGAAGUAUUACACAGUGCAGAAGUUACUAAUGGUAUGCAGAAACUCAUCAACUCAGAUGUAUUGAACCUGAAAGCAUGCAAAAGAAAUGCUCCAUGGAAAAUCUUCAAAUGGUGGGAAGAUGUGGGCAGACAACUGAAAGACAAGUCCUGGACGCUUUUAACUCAGUAGGACAAGAAGUGGAUGUGGAUUCUCCCACAAGAAUGGGUGCAAACAGUGCAGGAAUCCAGAAAAGGACAAGGAAAUUGAUUCUCUUGUUUGGGUUUUUUUUGCACAGAAAUGGCCUUAUCACCAAUGGGAGAAUUUUUGAAGAUUUACCAUCCAGUUGCAAAAAA